rnacentral:rRNA from 1 species
GCUAGUAAUGGCAGGUCAGCAUACUGCCGUGAAUACGUUCCCGGGCCCUUGUACACACCGCCCCGUCACACCAUGAGAGUUGGGAAUACCCGAAGCCUGUGAGCUAACGUAAGAGGCAGCAGUCGAAGGUAGAAUCAAUGAUUGGGGUGAAGUCGUAACAAGGUAUC